rnacentral:rRNA from 1 species
ACAUUCAGGCACACACCCUGAAUAUGCCUGAUCUCAUCCGAUCUUGGAAGCUAAGCAGGGUUGAGCCUGGUUAGUACUUGGAUGGGAGACCACCUAGGAAUACCAGGUGCUGUAGGUG